rnacentral:rRNA from 1 species
GGAUCAAUAUGUUGGUCGUGCCUUGGUACGUACUAGCUUAUUGAUUUCUCCUUUCUGACGAACCAUGAUGUCAUUAAUUUGGUGUCAUGGGGAAUCAGGACUGUUACUUUGAAAAAAUUAGAGUGUUUAAAGCAUGCUCGCGCUUGAAUACAUUAGCAUGGAAUAAUGAAAUAGGACAUUUUGAUUCUAUUUUGUUGGUUUCUAGGAUCGAUGUAAUGAUUA